UUUCAAUAGGGACGAAGCGCAAGUGACGGUACCUAUAGAAGAAGGACCGGCCAACUACGUGCCAGCANCNGNGGUAAUACGUAGGGUCCGAGCGUUGUCCGGAAUUACUGGGCGUAAAGAGCUCGUAGGUGGUUUGUCGCGUUGUUCGUGAAAACUCACAGCUUAACUGUGGGCGUGCGGGCGAUACGGGCAGACUAGAGUACUGCAGGGGAGACUGGAAUUCCUGGUGUAGCGGUGGAAUGCGCAGAUAUCAGGAGGAACACCGGUGGCGAAGGCGGGUCUCUGGGCAGUAACUGACGCUGAGGAGCGAAAGCGUGGGGAGCGAACAGGAUUAGAUACCCUGGUAGUCCACGCCGUAAACGGUGGGUACUAGGUGUGGGUUUCCUUCCUUGGGAUCCGUGCCGUAGCUAACGCAUUAAGUACCCCGCCUGGGGAGUACGGCCGCAAGGCUAAAACUCAAAGGAAUUGACGGGGGCCCGCACAAGCGGCGGAGCAUGUGGAUUAAUUCGAUGCAACGCGAAGAACCUUACCUGGGUUUGACAUGCACAGGACGCCAGUAGAGAUAUUGGUUCCCUUGUGGCCUGUGUGCAGGUGGUGCAUGGCUGUCGUCAGCUCGUGUCGUGAGAUGUUGGGUUAAGUCCCGCAACGAGCGCAACCCUUGUCUCAUGUUGCCAGCACGUAAUGGUGGGGACUCGUGAGAGACUGCCGGGGUCAACUCGGAGGAAGGUGGGGAUGACGUCAAGUCAUCAUGCCCCUUAUGUCCAGGGCUUCACACAUGCUACAAUGGCCGGUACAAAGGGCUGCGAUGCCGUGAGGUGGAGCGAAUCCUUUCAAAGCCGGUCUCAGUUCGGAUCGGGGUCUGCAACUCGACCCCGUGAAGUCGGAGUCGCUAGUAAUCGCAGAUCAGCAACGCUGCGGUGAAUACGUUCCCGGGCCUUGUACACACCGCCCGUCACGUCAUGAAAGUCGGUAACACCCGAAGCCGGUGGCCUAACCCUUGUGGAGGGAGCCGUCGAAGGUNGGAUCGGCG
rnacentral:rRNA from 1 species